AUUUUGGCUCUUGAUGUUAGAAACCUAUAAAUUGAGAGUUCCACUUCAUUUAUGAUUAAGAGAAACCUGCAUUUAUUUGUCUACCUAUUUUUUUUGCCUCAAAAUCUCUUAUUCUUUCUUUGGUGCAUUAAACAUCCACUUGCAUAUUCCUUAGUGCACCAUUGUUAUUCAUCCUAGCAUUUGAGUUGUAUUUGAGCCCUUGUUAAGUUAGGUUGAGAGAUUUAAAUUUUUUAUUUGGGUGGUAGAAGCUUCAAGUGAGUAGAGACUUGAAGAAAUUGUGUAAGAGCCCAUUGAAGCCGGAAUCCAAGUGUAAAUGUGUUAGAAGUUUGGUUGAAGCUUCAAGUAUACUGAAACCCUUAUUAGAUUACGAGCUUGAGGAGAGUGGACGUAGGCAAGGGGUGUCGAACCACUAUAAAAUCUGAAUUUGCUUUCUCUAAUUUUAUUUAUUUAUAUUUGUGUUUCCUUUGCUUGAAUUUGUUACUAGGCGUUGUGCGUAUCGACCCGUGCAGUAUUGUAGCUAACGCGUUAAGUAUCCCGCCUGGGGAGUACGUUCUCAAGAAUGAAACUCAAAGGAAUUGACAAGGGCCCGCACAAGCGGUGGAACAUGUGGUUUAAUUCGAUGCAAAGCGAAAAACCUUACCAGGGAUUGACAUGCCUCGAAUCCUCUUGAAAGAAAGGGGUACUUUCGGGAACGCGGACACAGGUGGUGCAUGGCUGUCGUCAGCUCGUGCCAUAAGGUGUUGGGUUAAGUCCCGCAACGAGCGCAACCCUCAUGUUUAGUUGCCACCGUUAAGUUUGGAAUCCUGAGCAGACUGUCGGUGAUAAGCUGGAGGAAGGUGAGGAUGAUGUCAAGUCAUCAUGCCCCUUAUGCCCUGGGCGACACACGUGCUACAAUGGCCGGGACAAAAGGUCGCAAUCCUGCAAGAGUGAGCUAACUCCAAAAACCCGUCCUCAGUUCGGAUUGCAGGCUGCAACUCGCCUGCAUGAAGCCAGAAUCGCUAGUAAUCAUUGGUCAGCCAUACGGCGGUGAAUUUGUUCCCGAGCCUUGUACACACCGCCUAUCACACUAUGGGAGUGUUUGAAAAAAAAAAUUAAAAACCCAAUUCACUCAUCCUCUUAGGUGUUUUCCUUAUUAAGAUUAGCCUUUAUUUUCUCAACAACUUAUCUACUUACG
rnacentral:rRNA from 1 species